GGCAUGCGCCACCAAACCUAGCUAUUUUAUUUUCAGUAGAGAGAAGAGUUUUGCCAUGUAGGCCUGGCUGGUCUCGAACUCCUGACUUCAGGUGAUCCUUCUGCCUCGGCCUCCCGAAGUGCUGGGAUUAUAGGCAUGAGCCACCACGCCCAGCCCUAAAGAGCAUAUUUUAUUGGCAAAAUUAAUUAGCAGAAAAUCAUACUAAGACAUUCUGGAGAAAAUGUAUUAAAUUCCUCUAACAUCUAGUUAGAAAAAUAGGUAGCCACAGUUCUUAUUUCUAUUACAUUCAAUCCAAGAAAACAAGUGACAGGACAUCUAACUGUUUUUAAUGAAACAAAAUAAGAUACUAAAAGGUGUGUCUCAAACACAGAAAAGUUUAGAAAAUAAAGUACUCUGAUGUUUCCUCCAAAAAUGACAAAGGUUUAGGCAAGCCCAUGGAAUGAAGAAUUAAGAAUUCAGUUAGGUGAAAGUUUCUAAUUUUUUAAAUGACUGCUUAAGGACUGGCUGGGGAAGAAGGAAAGGUAGUGGUUGAAGGAAAUAAAAAUGUUUUACCUCAAAUUAUAUUUAUUUGACAUAUUUUGAGAUGGCUAUCAGAGGGCCAGCAAACAGAAGUGGUGCUGCAAAGCUGUCUUUUUUGAAAGAAAUCUGCGUCUAUGGAGAAUCUCCAUUAAUGCAGCCAGGACUUCCCUUGUCUGGAAUCUAGAAAAGGUUAAAUGAGAGCCUGUCUGACACCUUUAAAGGUCUUAAACAUUUAACAUCCAUUCUCUCAGAAAGCUUCUAACAAGACCACCUUUCCUAGCCAGGUCUCCUUUCCCUACCCGUAACCUGUGUUGCCACUAAAACCUGAUUUACCAAAAUAACAUGUUUUUGGCCAUGCUGGGAGCUCACAUUACUUCUGUAACCUGAAGAUGGUAUAAAGUUCCUACACCUGGCCGGACACAGGGGCUCAUGUCUGUAAUCCUGGCACUUUUGAGAGGCCCAGAUGGGCAGCUCACCUGAGGUAAGAAGUUCGACAGCAGUCUGGCCAACAUGGUGAAACCCUGUCUCUACUAUAAAUACAAAAAUUAGCCGGUCGUGGUGGCGCAUGCCUGUAGUCCCUGCAACUCAGGAGGCUGAGCUUGGCCUCCCAAAGUGCUGGGAUUACAGGUGUGAGCCACCAUGCCCAGCCAACAUUACCUAUUUCUAAGCCCCCGUGCAACAUUUAUAAAACCUGCAACUUAUCCUGACCACAAUAAUAAAAAUUUUAGGCAAAAAAGAGCCUGGUAUCAUUUAUUGUAAAUAGUUAUGUAUGAAUAUUAAAAGUACUUACCCAAAUUUUGCUGAAAGUUGAAAUCAGAAGCAAAUUCACAGCCUUAAAUGCUUACAUGGUUUAAGAAGGGGAAAAAAAAAUCAGAUAACUGUUUAUUAAUUUAAGUUAAAUAAACAUGCAAAAAGGACCCUGAGAAAGUAGGAAGCACAAAGAAUAGGCUCCUAUACAACUGUUGAAUCUAAGAAGUGUUUUUGACAGAAAAAAGUUAAUUGUAUCUUAGAGAACAAAAGCCAAAAUUAAAAAAAAUGUGAUAUUUGACUCAGGAAAAAAAAGGUCAAAGCCUGAAUAGAUAAUCAGCCAGGAAGAAAUUUAGGAGAAAAAAAAAUGGAAAACUGCUUAAGCAAAAGGCUCCAGGCCUAGAUAAUUUAGUAGUGAUUUAGUCUCAAGGAACAGUUAUUUCUCAUUCUAAAUAAACUGUUGCAGAAAAAAGAAAUAAAAAACAGCAUCAGCUAUAAUAGCAACUAGUUCUUAAAGUGCUUAUUAUGUUCCAGGCAUUAAUCUAAGUGCUUUUACAUAUAUUGUACAAUUUAAACUUCACACUUUAGCACUGGUACUAUUUAUUAUCCCCAAUAUUCAAAUAAACUAGAAAAAGAAGGAAAGGUUUAAAAUUCAUUUUAAAAACUGGCAUAAGUUUGAAACCAAUCUCAUUAAAAGUAAACUUUUCAUUGGGUGUGUUGGUGUGCACUUGUAGUCCCAGCUACUCAUGAAGUUGAGGCAGGAGGAUCCUUUGAGCCCAGUAGUUCAAGGCUAUAGUGGGCUAUGACUGUGCCCAUGAACAGCCACUGCACUCUAGCCUGGGCAAUAUAGCAAGACCUUGUCUCAAAAACAAAAACCAAAAACAUUUAAAUAAAAUAUUCACAAAGCAAACUUACUUAAAAUAAUCACUAAUAUAAAAAGAAAUUCAUGAGUUCAAUGAAAAUAUUUUAAUUGAUGCUUAAACGUGGCAAUUAAGUUGAACAGGUACUUCUGAUGUAAAAUCGUAAAACUCUACCAACAAAAGCAAACAUUAUACUUAAUAAAAGCAAACAUUAUACCUAACAUUGCCAUUAAAAUGGGGAACAAGACAAUGAAGCAGACUUUGAUCAUUAUUAGUUGCACUGGAAGUGCUAAUAUCAGUGUAGUAAAAAUAAAUAAAAUUGGAAAAUAAUUAUUUACAGAUAAUACUUCACAAAUUAAAAAGUAGCACUGGUAAAUCCAUUAGUACUAACAGACUUCACUCAGUAUAGAAAAUAAAUAGAACUAAAAUAUAAAAGAUUUUGGGACUGGCACAGUGGCUCACGCCUGUAAUCCCAGCACCUCGGGAGGCUGAGGUGGGUGAAUCACCUGAGGUCAGGAGUUCAAGACCAGCCUGGACAAUAUGGUGAAACCCUGUCUCUACUAAAAAUACAAAAAUUAACUGGGUGUGGUGGCGCACAACUGUAAUCCCAGCUACUGAGGAGGCUCAGGAAGGAGAAUUGCUUGAACCUGGGAGGCGGAGGUUACAGUCACCAGAGAUGACACCAAUGCCCUCUGGCCUGGGCGACAGAGUGAGACUAUCUCAAAAAAAAAAAAAAAA
rnacentral:lncRNA from 10 species